CCCGACCGUUAAAGCGGCGGACUGGUGAGUACGCGUGGGUGACCUACCUUGAGCGAUGGGGAUAUGCUGUUAGAAAUAGCAGUGUAAUACCGAAUAUGGUUGGAGGGCUGUGGCUCUUCAAAGAAAGGGGCUCCGGCCCCGCCUUAAGAUAGGGCCCGCGUCCCAUUAGCUAGUUGGAGUAGUAAAGGUGCACCAAUGCGAAGAUGGGUAGCCUGGCCUGAGAGGGUGAACUGUGCACACUGGGACUGAAGAUACGGCCAAGACUCCUACGGGAGGCAGCAGCUAAGAAUAUUCCGCAAAUGGACGAACAGUCUGACGGAGCGACGCCGCAGUGGAUAAGGAAGGCCGAAAGGUUGUACACAUCCUUUUGCGGGCGAAGAAGAAGCCUUGGAGGGAAUGCCAGGG
rnacentral:rRNA from 1 species